UUCCCCCUCAUUAGGCCUAUGGAAAACUAAUAACAGGAAAAGUGACACUUUAAUCUCCCUUGCUCUCACGCUAAUUGUCUCCGUCCUGUAAACUGUCUCUCAACAAGAACCCUUUGUAGGCUACCGAAAAUGGGUACAAACGAGAUUAUCCAGACUGCAUAAAGUAUCCAAACCGCCAGAUAUGCAAACAGAGGUGGCAUAAACCAUAAGUAAUUUGCAGUUUGUAUUGCCUCAAGCCCGAUUCCAUGAAUAGACUUACGACUUCACUAAACAAACACUUUGACAGUAUCUACUGUAAUGCAUUUCAUUAUGUACCGGAUAGGAGCAAACUUUUAACUACCGUGGCGAAGCAACUUUUUUUUAAGCCUGGCGAAAACCAUUCUGGAAGAACAGACUGCAUGUGAAUCAGUAGACUGCGAGAAGCCACCUAUGGACAAGCGUGCGCUUUGGUUUUUGGAAAUCCCGGGCUUUGCUGCACGAGCGUCAAAGAUCAGCAUGGACUUGAAAUGAAAGCUAUUGAAUGAGCCGUAUGUGAAAGUGGUCUAUAAAGUUUAGCUUUUUUUAUUUGUUGUUGCCGAAUUACUACUACACGUUUGAUUAAUAUCACCAAAGGAUACCAGACUGAAGACGGAAAUUCGAGGGAACGUUUCUUUCUGGUAGACUACCAAUCGAGGGAGCGAUGAACUCCUCGGCAGGUGCAGGGAACUACCGAAGGGGCUCCACCAAGGGAGAGAAGAGGUCAUUCUGGGUCAUCCUUUCCCGUGGCGGUCCUCAUAAGAGCCAGUUUCAUCAGAGCGCUUGAUGGUUUUUGCAACUGCACUUGAAGAAACUUUCAAAGUUCUUGACAUUUUCCGGAUUGACU
rnacentral:lncRNA from 1 species